rnacentral:rRNA from 1 species
UACAGGGGGGGCAAGCGUUGUUCGGAAUUACUGGGCGUAAAGGGCCAGUAGGCGGUCAACUAAGUCACACGUGAAAUCCCCAGGCUUAACCUGGGAACUGCGUGUGAUACUGGAUGGCUUGAAUUCGGGAGAGGGAUGCAGAAUUCCAGGUGUAGCGGUGAAAUGCGUAGAUAUCUGGAGGAAUACCGGUGGCGAAGGCGGCAUCCUGGACCGAGAUUGACACUGAUGAGCGAAAGCUAGGGGAGCAAACGGG